UCCCUGGUGGUCUAUCGGCUAGGACACGCCCCUGUCAUCUCGUUGGACACAAUUUCUUCGCGCAAAAGCUGGGUUCGACUCCCAGCCAGGGAG